AAGUCGUAACAAGGUAACCGUAGGUGAACCUGCGGUUGGAUCAUUAAAGAAUUAUGAUGUGGCGUCGCAUGCCUUCAAAAGCGGCGUCGUCACACUCAUAUCCACCUCUUUGUGUAACGUUUCCUGUAUUUUGGCGGUCCACAAACCAUGGGCAAAGACACUCGUGUCUUUCGCUCGGACCGCCAGCCACAAACAACACCUGCUUUGCUUUUUUUGUGUCUUUGAAUGCCUCUUUGAGAGGUUUCUAAAAUUUGAAAACAACUUUUGACAACGGAUCUCUUGGCUCUC
rnacentral:misc_RNA from 1 species